rnacentral:rRNA from 1 species
AAACCAACAGGGAUUGCCCUAGUAACGGCGAGUGAAGCGGCAACAGCUCAAAUUUGAAAUCUGGCCCCAGGCCCGAGUUGUAAUUUGGAGAGGAUGCUUUUGGCGCAGCGCCCCCCGAGUUCCCUGGAACGGGACGCCGUAGAGGGUGAGAGCCCCGUACGGGAGGACGCUAAGCCUCUGUAAAGCUCCCUCGACGAGUCGAGUAGUUUGGGAAUGCUGCUCUAAGCGGGAGGUAAAUUUCUUCUAAAGCUAAAUAUUGGCCCAAGACCGAUAGCGCACAAGUAGAGUGAUCGAAAGAUGAAAAGCACUUUGAAAAGAGGGUUAAACAGCACGUGAAAUUGUUGAAAGGGAAGCGCUUGUGACCAGACAUGCGCCCGUCGGAUCAUCCAGCGCUCUGCGCUGGUGCACUCCGGCGGGUUCAGGCCAGCACCGGCCUUCCCAGGCGGAUAAAAACAGCGGGAACGUAGCUCCUUCGGGAGUGUUAUAGCCCGUUGUAGAAUACGCCUGGGGGGGCCGAGGUACGCGCUCUGCAAGGGUGCUGGCGUAAUGGUCACCAGCGGCCCGUCUUGAAACACGGACCAAGGAGUCAAGCAUUAGGGCGAGUGUUUGGGUGUUAAACCCGCACGCGUAAUGAAAGUAAACGCUGGUGAGAGCUUCGGCGCAUCAUCGACCGAUCCUGAAGUAUUCGGAUGGAUUUGAGUAGGAGCCUUACCGCUUGGACCCGAAAGUUGAUGAACUAUGCCUGUAUAGGGUGAAGCCAGAGGAAACUCUGGUGGAGGCUCGCAGCGGUUCUGACGUGCAAAUCGAUCGUCAAAUAUGGGCAUGGGGGCGAAAGACUAAUCGAAU